rnacentral:rRNA from 1 species
AAGGGCACCACAAGAACACGUGGAGCAUGUGGCUUAAUUUGACUCAACGCGGGAAAUCUUACCGGGUCCGGACACACUGAGGAUUGACAGGCGUUUCGCAAAGUUUUAUACUUUAAUUUUAGUUUUAUUAUUAUUUUUAAAGUUAUAUUCAUUUACAUUUCAAAUAUGCUAGUCCUUUCAUGAUUGUGUGAUAGGUGGUGCAUGGCCGUUCUUAGUUCGUGGAGUGAUCUGUCUGCUUAAUUGCGUUUCACUUAUGGCGUGAAUGUGUUAUUACUGUUCAUUGUGACCUCAUUUUUUUAUUUUCUUUCUUAAAAGAAUAUUUAAAGUGAUUGCGUCCGGUUCUAGUAUGCACAUCAUAGCCUCGAAGGCAACGAACGUGACCGCAACCUCUUGUUGCCUCCCUUGUGCAUGGCGGAUUAUAUUUUUUUAAUAUUAUUAUUUUUUUUUUAAAGAAGGUAGUAAUAUUAUAAUUUUAUAUAAAGUUAUUGCCACAGGCAGUUUUUAAAUAUUUAUAAAUUGUUUUUAUACAUAUAGAAACAGUUUUAAUAUUUUUAUAUAUAUGUCUGAAGUGGAGGGAAACUAGAGGGACCGCUGACAUUUCUUAAACCAGAGGAAGGUUGCGGCAAUAACAGGUCUGUGAUGCCCUUAGAUGUUCCGGGCUGCACACGUGCUACAAUGAUUAUUGCAGUGAGCAUCUUACCCAGUUCGUGUGCACAGAUGUUUGUUUACCAUCAAGUGUGUUGCAUUUAAUAAUUCAGCUAUAUUUUAAUUUUUAGGUUUUAAACAGUAUUAUAUAUUAUAUUUAUAUGAUAUACUAUGUUGUUUAUUUCCUUUUGUUUUUUUAUUGUUGUUUUAUUUUUAGUGUUUCACGCUGGUAGCGCUCUGAUGCAUUUUUUUUAACGACUAGGCUACUUCGAAAGUAAGUAGCUAAUCAAUUCGAAGUAAUGAUUUCCUUUUGCACAUUUUACAUGUCCUUAGUAUUUCUCGAUCUUCGCCUUGCGCUUAGUUUCGUGAUGCUAUCGCGGCAUGUGCUUCAUCAAUUCGUGGUGGGGACAGACCAUUGUUAAUUGUUGGUCUCGGUCUCAACUAGGAAUGCCUUGUACGGGUCUUUGGUUCAACAGACCACCCGGAAUAUGUCCCUGCCCUUUGUACACACCGCCCGUCGCUCUUACCGAUGGACUUCUCUGUGAGUUUGAGGGACUGGAAACUACUGAUUCUAUGGAAACUUAAACGAACAGUGUGGUCUAAAGGAAAGAGAAGUCGUAACAAGGCAUCGGUAGGUGAACCU